rnacentral:tRNA from 1 species
UCAGUGGUGUUUCAGUGGUAGAAUUCUCGCCUCCCAUGAGAGAGACCCAGGUUCAACUCCUGGCCAAUGUC